rnacentral:rRNA from 1 species
AAGGUUUCCGUAGGUGAAACUGCGGAAGGAUCAUUA